rnacentral:rRNA from 1 species
CGUAAGGCAGACAACGAAUGCCUAGGAUACUGAAGCCGAAGAAGGACGUACGUGGCCACGAAAGUCGUCGGGGAGCUGCCAAGAAGCUUUGAUCCGGCGGUGUCCGAAUGGGGAAACCCCCUCUUUAUGAGGACCCCGCCUAUGGCGGGGGGGGCACGCCCUGAACUGAAACAUCUAAGUAAGGGCAGGAAAAGAAAUCAACGUUCGCGCAAGCGAGAGAGAUUCCGUAAGUAAGCGGUGAGCGAAAGCGGAACAGCCUAAACCCCGCCGCAAGGCGAGGGUGUUGCGGGAAGGCCGAGUGACCGGCAAGGGUAGUCGAACUGUCUGGAAAGGCAGGCUAUAAAACGUGACAGCCGUGUAGGCGAAACCCAAGCCGGCGUGAAGCCGAAUUCCCAAGUACCAUGAGGCACAUACCUUGUGGGAAUCCGGGGUGACCACACUCCAAGGCUAAAUACUUCAGUGUACCGAUAGUGAACUAGUACCGUGAGGGAAAGGCGAAAAGAAGGGUGAGAAACCUAGUGAAAUAGAACCUGAAAUUGUCUGCUGUCAAGCAGACGGAGUCCCGCCUUUGGCGGGAUGACGUCGUGCCUAUUGAAGAAUGAUCCGGCGAGUUUUCGUUACAUGCAUGUCUAAUCCGUCUAAAGCGGAGGAGGCGUAGUGAAAGCGAGGGUUAACAGCCCGUAUAUUGCAUGUGAUGGAAGACCCGAAACCUGGUCAGAGUUACAAAUCUGUGAGAUGACUUGUGGUUAGGGGUAAUAUGCCAAUCGAACCAGGAGAUAGCUGGCUCUCCCCGAAAUAUAUAUAGGUAUAGCCUUAAGACUAACUUUCAAGAGGUAGAGCACUGGAUGGGCAGGGCAUCUUUAGGUGUCCUAUUCAAUCAAACUCCGAAUUCUUGAAAGCUACAUCUUAGGAGUCAGAACGACCCGGCUAAGCGGGCCGCUCUAAAGGGAAACAACCCAGACUGUCGUCUAAGGCCUCUAAAUGAAUGCUCAGUGUUGAACGAAGUCAAAUUCCUCAGACAGCCAGGAGGUUGGCUCAGAAGCAGCCAUCCUUUAAAGAAAGCGUAACAGCUCACUGGUCGACCUUGGAAUUUGGCGCGGAAAAUGAACCGAGGCUUAAGCAUUCUGCCGAAGACACAGAUUUUUUUGACGUUCGCGUCAAAAAAGUGGUAGGGGAGCGUUGAAGGAGCAGUGAAGUCCCUCUGUAAAGAUCGGGAUGGAGCGACUUCAAGUGAGAAUGCCGGAAUGAGUAGCGUAAGCCCGAUGAGAAUUCGGGCCGCCGAAACCCCAAGGUUUUCCCAGCCAUGUUGUUCAGCUGGGAGUGAGUCGGCACCUAAGGUGAGGCCUAAGUUGGCGUAACCGAUGGACGAGCCGUUAACAUUCGGCUACAUGAUAAGUAUCGUUAUAAAAUCAGGGAUGGACAAAAUGAGAAUAUCCGAACGCACGUAGUGAAUGUGGCGUUUAAGCAGCAAGACAGUUAGGCUUGGAAAAACCGGUCUGACGUUUAAUUGAGCUGUGAUGAGAAGUCUGGCGAGAAAUCAACGGGCAACUCGGACGGUUUUUGUUUUCCAGAAAAGAUUCGUGGUGAGAUAUUUAUUAUGCCGUACCGCAAACCGACACUGGUGGGGUGGUCGAGUAGACCAAGGCGAUCGGGAGAAGGUAGUUCAAGGAACUCGGCAAAAAAUCUGGACGUAAUCUAGAGAGAUGUCCUUCCCGCCUAUGGCGGGACGCAGCGAAAGAUUAUUCCCCGACUGUUUAACUAAAACACAGGUCUGUGCAAACUUGAAAGAGAAAGUAUACAGGCUGAGGCCUGCCCAGUGCUCGUAAGUUAAGUGGAUGGCUGAGAUUACAUCAAGGCUUGAAAUGAAGCCCGAGUGAACGGCAGCAGUAACUAUGAGCCGAAAGGCCGUUGUAGUUAAAAAAGUCGACUAUAUGCUGGAAUAUCUGGAGUAUCUAGCACUAGUUUAUUUCGGGUAUAUUUCGGAGUAGACUGAAAAUGUGUCUAGUGCAGACAAUCAGCAGGAAAGGUUAAAGACAGGACAUUUUUUGGCAGGAUUUGUUGAAGGCGAAGGAAGUUUUAAUAUUUCCAUACGCCGUAAAGCAGACUAUAAAGUAAGUUGGCAGGUGGUGUUGAGCUUUAAUGUAUCUCAACGCGAUCCAUCACUUUUAUAUUUGCUAAAACAAACUCUUGAUUGUGGGAUUAUUAAAAAACGUUUUGAUGGUGUUUAUUCGUUUGAUGUGACAACACCUGCGGACGCGAUUUAUAAAGUAAUUCCAUUUUUCCAAGAAUUUCCGCUUCGUUCAAAGGAUAAAAUUCGUAACUUUAACUUAUUUGUUAAAGUGGCGAAUUUAAUGAAGAACGGAGAACACAAAACCCAAGAAGGACUGUUUAAUAUUCUGAGCAUCAGAGAGAAAAUAAACUUGGGUAAGGGGAGGACUAGAAAAUAUUCGAUUUUCGAUGUAUUUCCCAAUCUGUCUUUAGAAUCCCCAGAGACUAUACGUCGACUUCGGCAAUCGCCGAAAUGAUAUAGUCCGGACUCCAUGGCGACAUGGAGAGACGUAACCAAUCGUCCUUUGUAACAAAUCGAACUGUUCUAUGGUAGCGAAGUUCCUUGUCGGGUAAGCGGCGGAAGCAAGCCCGACGUAAAAAACUGACUCAUAUCGGUGGAGCCUCUUGACCUUCGGGUUUUAUAAGGUCAGGAUGGUAAUACCGAGGGAAGUCGUCCGGUUGAUAACUGGAUUGACCCCGUAACGACUUAGGAUG